UAUUUACAGAUGGAACUACAGAGUCCACAAACUGUGAAACGCCUUACAAAAUGAAGACCAUGAAAAUAUUUCUUUCUCAUUAAAUAUAUAGAUGGAGUGAAAAUGAGAGGGUAGAAGAUAAAAAGCAUGACUAAACAGAGGACCCUGGAGGAGCCUGCAAAGAAAGAUGCAUUUUGAGGAAAUAGAUUUACAGAAUGAAAUCUAUUACAUCUGAAGAAUCAGAAAUGUGCAACAGAGAAGAAUUGAAACAUAAUAAUACAGCUUCAAGAGGAAAACCAGAAAGAAGGAAAUCUGGAAGAGAGUGUUGUCUCUCAGACCUGUUUUCUCUUGGUUUUCUCUCCGGACUCUACAAUAUAAUGGCUAGAGAUGUAGAUAUGAAGAAGUGAAGUGAUAUCUCAGAUUUUAACAAAUAUGGCAGUACAUUAUUUCUUCAUGAGCAUGGUAGAUGAAGGUAUUCUUCAAAGGGAAUCAAGAACUAUUGAAAAUUAAAGAACAUUUCUAGAAAAUCAGUGGAAGAGCUAAGGUGAAAAGUGGAAACUUA
rnacentral:lncRNA from 1 species